AAAUGAUGUGACAGGAAAUGAUAUGAAUAGAGACAGGAAGUGGUGCGAUUACAGACAAGAAGUGAGAUCAAUAGCAGCAGGAAGUGACGUCAGCAGUGACAGGAAGUGGUGUCAAUAGUGACAAUAACAGGAAGAAGUGACGUCAGUAGAGGCGAGCAAUGUUACCAUUGACCGGAAGGCACUUCAAGAGCCUCAGGAAGUGACGUCAUUAGUGACAGGAAUGACGUCAGCAGCAUCAGGAAGUGACGUCAGCAGCAACAGGAAGUGCCAUCAGUAUAGACAGGAAGUGCUCAACCUAACCACAUCCACUCUCCGAACAGAAAGAGGGUGGGGCUAAGGCACG